CCCGCACUCGACACAGACCUUCUCAGCGGCACUCAGGGUACCCCAUCAGCCUCGGGUGGGGCGGUCCAAUAAAGGGCAGGCACGGACUCUCCACACACGCCACUAAGCACCACAUGGAGGAGCUGGCCAAGUCACUGCAGCAGGCGCAGGCCGCGGUUCUGGGUGCGCAGGAUGAGCUCGCGCUUCUCCGUGCAUAUGUGGAGGAGGAAGCAGAAGGGCGGGGUGCCGACAACGUUGCCAAGGCUGCGGCGGUUGGCCUCGAGACAGGCGUCGCCCUGGAUAACCCGUACUACGUGGAUCUGCAUACCUCCGUGCAUCGGAGGCAGGAGGCGGCCUCGCUGCUGCUCCAGCGCUGCGCACACAUCUUUUACGAACAGUUCGGCGCUCUUGAGGAGAAGGCGGCGCGCCUGGAGAAUGUCCGGGUAAAAGAGAAGGAGCUACAGUCGGCCAAGAAGAGCAUGCAGCGGUACUUCGAUGCGCACUCGAAGGAGCUGGCAGAGGAACGCGACCGCCACGAUGGAGCGCUCCGACUCGAGUGGGAGCGCCGGCAUCACCUCGAAGACGGCAUUCUGCGUCUCAAGCUAGAACGGCGCCAGCAGCGCCUCGCGCACAGCGUGUUGCUCAUGUGGAUGAAGAAAGCAAUGGUGCGCAACCUCGCUCGCGAGUACACGCGGCGGCGGGAAGCUGCUCGAGAGACGUACCAAUCCGCCACCUGCGACGCACUCGUCCAGCGGCAGCGAGUGACGGCAGCGCGACGGGCGCUUUUCACGUGGCGGUCUCGAGUGCAGCAGCGCCGCUGCCAGCGUCUCAAGACCGCAGCGGCAGAGGCGGAGCAGCGAGCGCAGUUUUUCCGUGGCGAGCUCGCCGCCACCCAGCAGAAUCUGCAUGCGCGUCUCAACAGGGACGUCGGCGAGCGCGACCGCAUCGCCACCGCGGUAGCAACUCAAGAGAAGGAAUGCGCCCAGUACGAGGACGAAGUGCUUCGCCUUCGCACAGCUCUGCGGGACAUGACCGUGGAGUUUAGCGAGCGCACACGUACGUACGUCCGUCAGCAGGAGGCCGCUGAGCAGCUCUUCGCACGCAAGGAGGCGACGCUUCGCGACACCGUGUGCAGCCUGCAGGCAGCGCUGACCACCGAGCAGCAUGCGCAUGCUGCGCUCGCGGAGUCAUCUGAGCACUUUCUCGACCACGUGAACGCUUGCUGGAAGGCGCAGCUGCAGGAGGUGGCCGAGGCGGUGCGGCGCAAGGAGGAGUACGCACACCACACCAUCCUAGGACUCAUCGGCCGUCUGCAGCACCGCCAUGGCAGCCUACGGCAGGAGGCGGCUAAGCUGGCACGCGACGUCGAUACACUUGCCCCGCUGAGUGAGCGCUGCGUGCGGUUGGAGAAUGCACUCGCCGAGUCCGAGCAGCUGCUCAAGCGAAGCAAGGCAUCCAGCCAGUCAUGGGAACGACGCUGUAAAGCUGCACAUGUGGUGGAGGCACUCCUAACGGAUCGCGUCGCCUCCGCGGAGAGUGCGGCGCUGCGGGCCCGGUCCUUCAUCCGGUGGCUGGGUCAUAGCCACACCACUUCUAGCGAGAAGUCGCAGCGUAGCAUCUGCAGCCUCUCGGACAAAAUGGAGACCCAACGUCGUCAACUGCUCGUCCAGCAGCAAGAGCAGUCCUCGCGUCACCACGCAGAGGUGGCGCAGCUUCGCGACGAGCUGGAGCAGCUGCGUCGCGCAAACGUGCGACUGCAGUCGCAGCUGGAGGCCGCCGCACGCACGCAACGCGAGCGAGAUGGCGCCUACUACGACAGUGAGGUGCGGAACGGCGAGCUGUCAGCGGCUAUGCUGCGGGAGAAGAUGGAGCGGCGCGGCGUGGAGGACAAAUGGUGGAGCAGUCGUGCCUCUGGCCUGCUGUUGCAGGAAGCGCAGCAGCGGCUGUACAUUGAGGCGCACGAGGGGCAGUGGUGGACAACGCUGCUCACGCGUGAGAGCAAAGUACUGAAGGUGUGGACGGCUUCUCUGCACGGCGACGCGGCACAGCUCACAGCCGUGUGCGAGGGCUGGCAGCAGCAUUGCCACCAGAUCGAAGCAGCACAUGCUGCGGUGCGAAAAACCGCGACUGCGCGGACGGCGUGUGCCCUGGAGCGAGGGGUAUUGUACGCGCAGACACUGGCUGUGUGGACCACGUGGCGAGAUUGGGCACGGCAGAGGCGCGGCGUGGCCGCGUUAGAGGCGCGAUUGUCGGCAUCCAGAAGGGAGAUGAUGGAGCGGCACGGCAAGGAGUUGGCACGCGCGCACACCAGCCACGACACGGCGUUGCAGCGCCUACAGCGCGAGCACAUGCUGGAGAAGACACAGCUGCAGUCCAUCCACCAGGAACGAUGUGCAGCCCUGCGGCGUGCGCAGGCGAAGGAGGUGGAACAACUCGCCGAGCGACAUGCACAGCAGCUCAAGAUCGCGCAGACAGCCUACGCCGCGGAUGUCGCACAGCGGGACGAACAGGCAGGUACGAUGCAAGCGCAGCUGGACCACGUGGGCUGCCUUGUGGUAGAGUACUGCGCUCAGGCAACCUACAGCCGAUGGCGUGCAUGGGCCGCAGAGCGGCAGGCGCAGCGCACGGCCCGGCAGCGCCGAGGAAUGAUCAUGCGAAUAUGGGAAUGGCAAACUGUCAGGACAACGCUGAUCGACGCCUGCGCAGCUGCCAAGGCUUCUCUGUGGGCAUCCUUCACUAUCGAGAUUGCGCAGGAGCGUGCGGUGGAAGUGCGGCGGCAGGUGCGGCAUGCGGCUCAGGAGAAGGAGCUGUGCCACUCCCAGCAGCACAAGCUGCAGGCAGCGAAGGAGGUGGCGGAGGAGGAGGCGGCCUACUUGCGAGGAGAGCUGCAACACGUGCGCACGCUGUAUGACGCGGAGGUACACUACACGGAGCUGCUGCUGCGUACCGCCACCGAGGAGCGGCGUGCCCGCCGCAGCACUCUCGUCUUUACUGCUCGAAUGGCCGAGUGGCGAGAGUUGGCGCACGGCAGCCUUGCGGAGCAUCAGGCAGCUGCGAUGGAGGCUUUCGCGGAUGCGGCUGGGAAGGCUGUGACAGAGGUUUCGGUAGCGCGCAGAGAUGAGCUUGCUGCCUACGCGGCACAGGCGGAGGAGGAGGAGGUGGUGCGCAACGCACGCGUCAGCGGUGCAAUCGCGCCGUCGCCAGAAGAAACCGGCGCGGAAAAGACGCGCACCUCCGAUGGCGACAGCGCACUUGACGUGAGCGGGCGGGCACCUGGCGAGCGUGAGGUGGACGCAAACAACGCGGAAGUGACUACUGGCGAUGGUGGUGGUCAGCGCCGCUCCACCGGCGCAAUGGCCAUGACGCCGCCACUUGUGCAGCUCGUCCCUGAAGACCUGGUGCCGCGCCUUCGGUCGAUCGAGAGUUACGUGACGGCCACAGGUGACUCAUGUGAAGCGGAGUGCGAAGCCGACACCACCCCUUCAGCGCAGUGCGGUCCCCUCCUUGCUGAGCCUUUCCUUGAAGCGCUGGCGCUGUCGUCUCCUCAUCUGACCGCUGCGUUCAGCCACCAGGUGGGACAGGCCGAUGUGCCCUCGACGGUGCGCCACCUCCUUGAACUUGUGCGCCUGGCAGCGCUGCGUGGGGCUGCUGCGCACAGACGCGAUCACGCGGCCGAACUCGCUAUCAUCCAGGAGAAGCGGGCUCACUCUGAGGAGGCGCUGGCGAGCCUGCGAGAGAGCAUGAGGGGCCUACUGGCGGAGCAGCGUUCUCUUGCAGGGGAGAUGCACGCGGACGCUCAGCAACAACGACAACAGUAUCCCACUUCCCGAGAGGCCGGCUCGGCGCAGGCGUCCCUAGCGUCGACGGAGUCGUGGCAGGAGCGGCUGAGCGCGCUUGCGGACCGGUAUACCCGAGCGCUAGACGCCUUCUACGUCGACACCACGGGCCGCGAGGAGACAUUUUAUAGCGUGAGCGGCGUGCUGGUGGAGGCCGAUGAGUUCUCGGAGAGAUUGCUGCAGCGCUUCUCGGAGAAUGCGAGUGCGAUGGCGCAGCUGCGGGCGCAAGUUCUCGCUCACGUACCAGGAAUCGCAUCCGCUCAUCAGAGGGGUGCCGGCCCCGAUGCCACCUUACCUGCAGACGUGGCGGCUGCGGUGAGGACGGUGCCACCCUCAUCGCCGGAGCCGAAAGCGCCGUCGCUACCCGUGACCCCGCCCUCGUCACCUGGGCUUCCCGACAACCCCAUUCAGGCUGCUUGUUCGCAGCGCAGCUCCCUCGGCGCCACCACCAGCGCUGUGGGCUCCACCACCUCGCCCGCCGGCUCUACACCAGAGAGGCACGGGCUGCGCGAUCGCGUGCGAUUCCUCGAGAGGCUUCUUGUCGAAACGAAAGUGCAGCUGGCGGAGGCAAAGUCGCUGGUUGGAGUGGCCCAUCGCGCCGCCUCCCUCUCCAAGGCAUCCGCUGAGGCGCAGGUGUGGGCCGCUCAGGAUGCCGAGGACUUUAGCCAGCUGGCGCUGUCUAAGGAGCAGCUCCUCGUUCUCUACGCCGCCUCGGAGUCGACCACGCGCACGCUCAUGACGGCGAUGCGCGAGUACGACACGCAGCUGCGCGGCACGCAGGCGGAGAUGUCGCAGCAGCUGCGAACAGCGUGCGCCGCGGUUGAGGAAGCGCUGCAGGCGCGCCACCGCGUCGAUGUGGAGCGCUACGAGGCGAAGGUGCGCGCCUUGUCCGACUCCCUCGCCGCGGCUGCGAGGGAGCAGUCCAGAGCGGAGGCCCGCUACGGAGAGCUGGAACAGCAGCUGAAGUCAGAGGCGGCGAGCUGGGCCGAAAAGUACUCGCGUGACACACAGCUCAUACGGCAGAGCUGCCUGUCCGAAAUCGACGAGCUGGCGGGCCACCAGCGGCUGCUGGAGGACGAGCUCCAGCAAUGCCGGCGCGCCACCCAGUCAUCUAUCCAGCGGGCUGUGGAACGCCAAACGGAACUGCUGAGGCUCGAGCACACGGAGAAGCUGCGCCGCUCCGAGAGGAACGUGGCACGACUGGCCACUGAAAAGGCAUUGCUGGAGGGCCGCCUGCGGUCCGUCGAGGAGGACUGCGAGCGGCAAGUGCAGCAGGAGCGGGCAGCGGUGGCGCGCCUUCAACAUGGGCUGGCAGGCGAUGCGGGUGCUGCUGCAGAGAUGGCCUGUGUGGCGACGUUGGCGAGUUUCGAGAUGCAUCUCUUCGGCGCCACAGAACUGUAUGCGCGGUGCGCGACGGAGAAGGCGGCGUGGCUAACCGCGUGUGUUGCUGGCCUGAUGGAGCAGGAGCGGGAGCAGUGGGAGACGGAGGUGAUGCAGCUGCGCGAGCGUGUGGCGUUUCUGCUAGAAGCCUCAGGUGCUGACCCCGCAGCGCCUGCGCGUGACGGCUCCUUUCAUCAAGGGUCGAGGAACGUGCAGGAAAGCGGCAGGACCACCAGUCCCCAGGAUAAGGCGGAGAACUCGUCGCAGGCCCUCACGGUCUCACCAUCUCCCCGCCGCAGCAACCAAGGUGUCUCGUCGGGAGAGGGUGGUGCAAGCAUCGCUGCGUGGGGCAUCACCGCACAGAGCAGCCCUCGACGCGCAGUCUCCAGCCCCUCAGCAGCGAAGACGUCUCGCGGAACCCAAGGUACCAUGUCGCUAGCUUCACAUGACACGACCCCCACACGAUGCCGAAGUCUGUCUGUCGACUCGCUGGAGCUGUCACAGUCCUUCCUCCGCUACUCAAAAAUGUUGAGCGACCAGCGGUCACGGAACGCAACGCGGCUGGAGCGGGCAAACGCGCUGGCCGCCGAGGUUGACGAUCUCCUCUUGCGCGGCGCCCAGCUCGGCCAUUCAGCGGCCUCGCAGAGCGCUCGCUAGAUCGGCAGAGAAGUGAGGGGAGUGCAGUAAGCGAGGGAAGACGGCGUGAUGCACAGCGUGUAAAUGCCAUCAUAACGGGGUGUCGUUUCGUGUGCCGCAAGGAAGGCGUUUCGGGGUGGUGUUUUUCUUUCGCCUUCGUCAGCUCAGCUGCUCAGCCGACUUGUUUCCUUCCAAUGCGAAUCCUGCAGACGGUGCCCCUGCUCCAUAUGUUCCGACACCUCUUCUACCGCCACUACUGCCACCUUCUCUACCCUCAUGUUGUUUGCUGCAGCACGCGCUUCGGCUCUUCCGUUCGCUCCUUCUCGCUCUCGUCCGCCUGCAUCCUCCUCUCUGUCUUUUGGUGCUCGUGCUGGUGCGUGUGCGUGCAUCUCUUCUCUCUGCGCUCCACUACCGCGUUAGAGUACAUUUUCUUUCUCCCUCUGCACAUGUGCACAACUGAGACUUGAAGAUUAGACUUGACGGACUCGACUU
rnacentral:misc_RNA from 1 species